rnacentral:sRNA from 1 species
GGGGCCGGGCGGCCCGGGGGGUGACGGGAAGGGAGGCCGGCCCAGCACCGCCCAGCCCCGGGCUCCGGGCGGGAAGUGGGCGAGCGCGGCGGUGCGGGACGCGCGGGCGACGGGCCAGCGGGAUGGGAGCAGGGUCCCCCGGCGGCCCGCAGCCUCUGGAGCCGCGCUGAAGCCGGGGGCGGGACCAGCGCGGAGCCGACAUGUGUCUGCGCCUCGGAGGCCUGAGUGUGGGCGACUUCCGGAAGUUGCUGAUGAAGACAGGCCUGGUGCUGGUGGUGCUGGGCCAUGUGAGCUUCAUCACAGCUGCCCUGUUCCAUGGCACAGUGCUGCGCUACGUGGGCAGCCCCCAAGAUGCGGUGGCUCUGCAGUACUGCGUGGUCAACAUCCUCUCUGUCACUUCCGCCAUCGUGCGCUGGACAGUGUUUAGCUCGAGCGUGGCCUGUGCUCUCCUCUCUCUGACCUGUGCCCUCGGCCUCUUGGCCUCCAUCGCCGUGACCUUUGCCACCCAGGGCAAGGCGCUGCUGGCUGCCUGCACUUUUGGGAGCUCUGAACUACUGGCCCUCGCACCUGACUGUCCCUUCGACCCCACACGCAUUUAUAGCUCCAGCCUGUGCCUCUGGGGCAUCGCCCUAGUGCUCUGCGUGGCGGAGAACGUCUUUGCUCUGCGCUGCGCUCAGCUCACCCACCAGCUGCUGGAGCUGAGGCCCUGGUGGGGGAAAAGCAGCCACCACAUGAUGCGGGAGAACCCAGAGCUGGUGGAGGGCCGUG